UGCCCACUGAAAGUUUAUUGAAGGGCCGCGGUAUUUUGACCGUGCAAAGGUAGCAUAAUCAUUAGUCUUUUAAUUGAAGGCUGGGAUGAAUGGUUUGACGAAAUAAUAUCUGUCUUUUAAAUAUAACUAAAAGUUUACUUUUAAGUUAAAAGGCUUAAAUGUUUGUAGGGGACGAGAAGACCCUAUAGAUCUUAAUUUAUAAUUAAUUAAUUUUGUUUUGGUUGUUUUGUUAAUUAUUUAAUAGUAAAUUUUAUUGGGGUGAUAUGAGAAUAUAAUUAACUUCUUAUUUAUUGAACUUUGAUGUUUGGAUUUGUUUGAUCCUUUAUUAUGGAUGGAAGAUUAAGAUACCUUAGGGAUAACAGCGUAAUUUUAUUUGAGAGUUCUUAUCGACAAUAAAGAUUGCGACCUCGAUGUUGGAUUAAGAUUAUGAAUUGGUGUAGGGGCUAAUUUUGUUAGUCUGUUC
rnacentral:rRNA from 1 species